rnacentral:rRNA from 1 species
CCUACGGGUGUGCAGCAGUGGGGAAUAUUGGACAAUGGGCGAAAGCCUGAUCCAGCCAUGCCGCGUGUGUGAAGAAGGCCUUCGGGUUGUAAAGCACUUUCAGUGGGGAAGAAAGCCUUGGGGCUAAUACCCUCGAGGAAGGACAUCACCCACAGAAGAAGCACCGGCUAACUCCGUGCCAGCAGCCGCGGUAAUACGGAGGGUGCGAGCGUUAAUCGGAAUUACUGGGCGUAAAGCGCGCGUAGGCGGUCUGAUAAGCCGGUUGUGAAAGCCCCGGGCUCAACCUGGGAACGGCAUCCGGAACUGUCAGGCUAGAGUGCAGGAGAGGAAGGUAGAAUUCCCGGUGUAGCGGUGAAAUGCGUAGAGAUCGGGAGGAAUACCAGUGGCGAAGGCGGCCUUCUGGACUGACACUGACGCUGAGGUGCGAAAGCGUGGGUAGCAAACAGGAUUAGAUACCCGGGUAGUC